rnacentral:lncRNA from 1 species
UCAUGACUGAGCAGCUUAUUUUUAAUUUAACACAGUGCAUUCAGGGUUUGCUGACGCGUGUAGACUGUUGCAGUCCAAUGUGAGAAGAGGAGCUCAACAGGCCUGACACUCUCUGGCAAUGCAUCUGGUCCUGAACACUAGACCCAUCUCCCAGAGAAGGACUGGGGCAGGCAGGCCUUGGCAGAAGGUGGAGAAAGAGACCCAGUCAGGAAGAAAACCAUCCUGGAGACCUGGAGAUGUUCUGUUUGGCAUCAGGAAACUCCAUCAGCAGACACAUAAGACAGUGAUGUAUAAAACAGUGGUUCUCAACUGGGGCAAUAAAGACAGCUGCAGAGGGAGAGAGCGUUACCACCUCACAAUAAUUUUUUUCUCAAGAAUGGUUCUCUCCCCUUCCCAUGGUCCAAGGGAGAAAUUCAGUUUGUCCCCCAACUCCCACCCACCCAAGAGAACAUUUCCUGGUAUUUGGAAAUGUCUACGUUUUACCCACCAGUUGGAGGUCUGGCCAGCCUCAGAGUUGAGAACCGAGGUUCACGGGUUUGCAGGCUUGUGGGGCUGCCACAGCGGAAAGGAGCUGUGUGUGCUUCAGCUGUGGCUGCCUCUCCUGGGAGGCUCAUCACUGUCAGAGGAACUCGGGAUGCCUCCGUUGUCCGGUCUUUCACCAUCCAGCCUUAAUAAAUCUAUAGCAUUAGGAGUCAGAUUGGCAGCAACAACUCAUCACAGAGAAGAGAGCAAACUUCCCAACCUCUCACCCUUAAUAGAACAGGAGUAGGGAACCGGGGAGAGAAGUCAGACCCUGGGCCUCAGCCUCAAGUUGCUGGAACAGUCCCGCCUAAGUCAGCUUGUAGUAAAGGAUAGGAGCUCUGAAAUGACUUCAGACUGCAAUUGUAAUAUACUCAUUAGAACACAAGAGUGGACUGCAAUGGAUUUAACAGAAGAGACUGGGGUUCACUCCCUCCUGUUUCCUUCAAUGAGUUGGGCAGGGGAGGGGCAAUAAAACUGUUACAGGCCGUUCUUGGCAUGUAUAUAUCUCUUGAGGUACUCUCGCUUCAUUAAACCAGUUGGAGUCUAGAAGGAUGUAGGAACAGGGACAAAGAUAAGUCCCUUAUCACUAGCUCAAAAUAUAAUAUAGUGGCACUUGUUAGGGAACAGAUACCAGACAACAAAGCUUCAGAACUUCACAUCAAGCAAGAACUGAGCAGACAUACUAUCUGGUAAGAGAACAGGCUAACUUAGAAUGUUAACUUUAUCAAAUCCUUUUUGGCUACUCAAAAGCCUUUUUCUAUUAUUAAUUCCCCACUUUUGCAGAUUCUGAGUAGGUGAGGUCACUGCAUACCCAAGUUUCAAGUAAGGAAAAGUGUCACUGUCAGUAGAUCAAUGACAUAGAUCCACUUCUAGCCAUAGAGAGGCAGAGAUUUCUGUUCUCCACUAAUCCUCUACCUAAAGGGCAUGGUCUGCCUUGAAGGCACAUCCAGUAAACUGAAGCUGCUUUUUCUACGCUACUAUAUUCAGAUCUAUUGACUUCUUCAGUGGUAUACUGAGCUACUUUUAAUUUAUGGUUUAUUUUGCUAUGCCAUGACUAAGGUAGUGGGUGAACAAAUGUAAACAUGCAAAGCUUUGAAAAACAAUUUAGAUUGUGGUGAAGAACUGUCCAUUUACUUCUGUACAUUUUCAGGUGCAAAUGACAUUCUGUAUUUCCUUACAGUAAAACCUGACAGCUUAUGACCUCUUAGUUCCUAUGCAUCUAUUUCAUCUCUAACGACACUACUAACAAGGGUUAUUUGCACUUAUCACACACUAUGACAAACACAUCUAUCCAUUGACUUUGAGGUGACUGCAGACAAAUGGAGCUAUAAAAGGCUUCAAUUGCACAGCGCCUCAUUGCUUAAGAGUAAUUUGUGCUUUAUUAGGCAGAGGUGAAACUAUGAUGAAGAGGAUGUCACUGAUGAUCUAUUAGGUUUCAAACUUCGGGAAAGUUUCAAGGAAAUAGCUAAGAUGGGAAACUUCUUUGAUUCAAUGUGGAAAGCAUUUACUAAAUAUUUACUGUGUAUCCAAUGCUGGCCAAGGCAAUUUUAAAAAUCAGGUGGAACUGGCUGAGCAUGGUGGCUCACGCCUGUAAUUCAGCACUUGGGAGACAUAGUUGGGCAGAGCCCUUAAGGUCAGGAGUUCGAGACAAGCCUGGCCAAUAUGGUGAAACCCCGUCUCUAAAGUACAAUUAGCUCGGUGUGGUGGUGCAUGCCUGUAAUUCCAGCUACUCAGGAGACUGAGGCACAAGAAUCACUUGAACCCAGGAGGCAGAGGUUGCAGUGGGCUGAGAUCGUGCCACUGCACUCAAGCCUGGGUGAUAGAGCAAGACUCUGUCUCAAAAAAAGAAAAAAAAAAAAAGAAAAAUACACACAAAACCAUUAUAAGUGGAAAACACAGGAUAAAGGGAUAUAUGUUACAUAUUAUGUAAAUACACAUACAUAAUGCUAAAUUGAGAAUUACUGAAAUAAAAAAAAAUCAAUACAGUUUUCUUGGUCUCAUGUCUGCAGUAUCAAAUACUGUUAAAAACAGUGACAACAGCCAGGUGCAGUGGCUCUUACCUGUAAUCCCAGCUUCUCAGGAGGCUGAGGUAAGAGGAUCAUUUGAGCCCAACAGUUCAAGAUCAGAUCGGGCAACAAAGCGAGACCCGGUCUCAAAAAAAAAAAAAAAAAGUGACAAUAAAUACUAUGAAUACAACUGCUUUCUUAAAGUGUUCCUGAACACUCAGUUAAAAUCAAUUUCUCUAUCCUUUUGUACUUUUCACUUGGAACGUACUUCUAUCUAGCACAAUCAGCCCAAAGCCUCUAUGAACCAACUUAUAGUCUGACAAACAUGACCCAUUAUCAUGAAGGAAACUAUGCACAGAGUAACCACGGAAAUUAAGGUUUAGGGGAGGGGUAAAAUUCAAAUGAAUCAGCAUUUCCAUAGGCUCAGAACAAAGCAGGGCUGUGUCUAAAGGGAUCAGGUGUGCAAGUGGGCCUAGCAUCCUGUAUCCGUGGAAACUGUAGUUUAGAUGUAGAAUGUGUAUCCAAGAAGUCCUUAUCUGGAGUUCUGCAUUUCCUUUGGGAAUGAAGGCUGCUUCUCUGUGUUAAAGUGAAUUACAUAAAAGUGGGAUGUUUCAUUCUUACUGAAAGAAUUUUCAACAGUAAAAUUUCUGAUAGUCUAUGAUUUUAGAGAACAAAGUUUCUCAGUGAGUAAGAAGGCAACAGUCACUCGAAGGGAGUUAAGACAGGUUACAGCUGCAGCAGGUCCUUGGGAGAAAUAUUGUCUCCUGCCUUUAUCUGUGUGUGAUGAAGGACAAGGCAGAUUUAUACUUUCUCAGUCUGAGUUAAUUUUUACUUACCCACUUCCAUUACAACAUUAAACACACACUGUCCUGCAUUUUGUUAGUAAUACUCAGGGCGUCUCCCUGGUAGGCUAUAAAUACAAAGUGCACUGUAUUCCCACCAAGGUCUAGCACAGUGUCUCUCAUAUGGUACAUACUUGGAAAAAAAUUUUGGACUGAACCUGAUUACCAAGAAAAGGCAGUAUUUCAAGUUCAUCAACCUAAAGAGGUUAGGUCAAGUGGCAGGUUAGGGAGCUCUUCUAUAAUUAGAAGAGCUUCCCACUUGCAAAACUGAAGGCAAGCCACUCCUCAGCUGGAAAAAACAUUAUUUUAACAGUAUUUCACUAGGAAUCCAUUCAACAAAGUUGAUCCUACAAAGGGAACUUUUCAAAGGAAACAGCUAUGCACACAGGACAGCCUGUGUAAAUGCUGUUUACAUAAAUAUACUUUCAAACUUGCACCUUUUAGAUGUUGCUCUUUUUAUGCAUGAUGACAACGAGCCUUUUCCGUCUUAUCUUACCCUAGGCAUACAUUAACUGCUUAAAAAGGCAUAGCCUAUCGAGUUAUUACUCAAAUAAUGUAUGUUCAAUCAUCUCAGCUCAAAUAUAUCGUUACUAAACAAUCACACCCAUUAUAGAGAACAUAAUGACACCAUUUGGAGUGGAAAGCUGUUCUCAAUCCCGCGGUAAAGGGCUUUUGUGUCAUAGGAACACUUUCCACUUCAUCUCAUCAUGAAAUGUUAAUACACUGCAAGGAGCUGUUUGUAAAUUAGUCUCGCGGGUGUAAACCAGAGAACAGACAGUACAAAAAGCUGUUGUUCAGAAGAGUGAAAGACAUGAAACUAGAACUUCUCUGUGUUUAAUAAUUCUAGGGUAAACUCACUGGGAUUUAGUGAACAUGAGACGAAACUUCCCAUCUGAUAAAGCAGUUCAGCUCUGCACCAAAAUAUAAUCAAGUUCAUCAAUGUUUAAUUACUUAAUUAAAACUAGACUAAUACAUGAAAACCAUUCCUAAAGAGAAGUCCUUACCAAGUAUUCAACCAUGUCCUGUUGAUCAGCAACCAUGUCCUGUUGAUCAGCCACAUGUACUAGAACUGGCCCUUAUCUCAGAGAUGACACAUAAGGUACACAUUCAAAGGCAGCAGUGAGGACAAGUGUCAGGAAGGCCUCUCCAUGUAAGACUGCUUUGUUUUUACUCUAAGUGUGGAGCCCCCUCUUGAGGUCAGGAGCGACAUCACACAUGCAUUACUACAGCGGCUACUUAGAGUCAGAUGUGUAUGAGACAUCUUAGAGCAGGAGUCCUACCUGGCACAAUGAGAUGCAGAGGGAAAGCUCCCCCACUCUAAAAUAACUCAAGGCUACCUAAAAGACUUGUGUACUGUCAGAACACAUAUUUAUUCUAUUUUUCAAAAUACUGACAAGCUUUCAUUUGUAUCUAACCUCAGGCAGCUUUUAUCUCAAUCUGAAGUGCUAUCCCCAACAUUCACAAACUGGGAUGAGGAUCUUCUUUAUAAAUGUUAGCUUUAAGCUAUCAAUUUUGAGUCCAUUUUGCAGGUUUGUAAGGAUACUGUGAAAGAAUCUGGCAGCACAUGGAGGAAAGAAAGCUGCUUGCUUUCUUGAUAAAGUAUAGCUUCAGCUGGUUUGUUUACUACUUAAGCUAAAAUGGCCUGCAUCCACUUUCUUAAGGAACUUUACUUCCUUCUAUAGUUGCUCAUUUGUAAGUUUAUAAUAAGCCCAAAGAGGCCAGCUGCUUUGGAAAGGGUAAUGAUCUAGCCAAGGAUAAAGUGACCCCGAGCACGUAAUGCCUGGACCUCAGAACACCACACAAUUUCAGUUAGUUCUUAACAUAAUUUUAUAACUUUGAGCAUUUUUAAGUUAUUAAAAUUUUCUGUGGAAAAUAGCCAACUUAAAUUGUUAGGAUACAGAGGAGAGUAUACCUUGAGUAAAUAUGUUUUGGGAUAUAAAAUCAAAAUCACAAUCUUCUUUCAUGGUAAAGUUCACCUUAGGAAAAAGUAUCUUGGGAGUGGCAUACCAAUGUCAGUUCUGUGCUAAAAUAAUAAAGAGCAACUGGUUAAACCAAUCCGUGCUAUCACUUAGGAUUCAGAUUGAAACAUGAAAAACACACCACUUAUGCAGUUCUAGAUCACAUGUUGCAAAUAUGGAAAUAGUUUCUCAACUUUCUUUUCCAGGGAAGAAACCUUCAUGUAUAGUACAUACAUUCUCAACAGACACAUGUUGAGCCAGUUUAUGAGCGCCUCAAAUCUCCACGAUGAAUUAAAGCCAGUUAUCAUGUAUGUGUAAUGUAAUAUUAAGGGGUAAAAAUGUCUUACAUGUUUCAGUAGACUAUGCAAUUAACUUCUCAUCUUUUCAACUGCAGAAAUUGUACAAAGUCUAACCUUAAAAGAAAUGUAGAGAACACUAGCAAGUACUGUAAAAAGAGAAUUUUAAGGGCAGAAAAAAACAAAAAAGAAUCUUAGAAUGUUACUCAAUCCUUUACGUCUCCUGGAUUUCAUUAAUGCAAGAAUGUACACAAUCUUAUUUCUGAUUUUGAAAUUUUAACAUUACUUUGUUGUAACCUGAAUAUACUUUUAAAGUUCCAGAAUGCAAAACUCAUGUGUUUCAUUCACCACUACCCGCAAAACCUUGAAGAGUGCUUAGCACACAGAAUGUUCCAAAUCAAUACUGCUGAUAAAUAAAUCCCACUGCAAAUUACUGUCACAGCCUAAAGAACAUCUUUAGUUUUACUGAAGUCAUGGGUAUAUGACUGAAAAUGGCGUGCUUUAAAUGGGAAAACGAAACGCAUUAUUUCUAUGGUCCAGAUUCAAUUUGCUUUUAAUAGUAAGCCUUACUGAAAUAUAUUCACUUAUAGAUAAGGGCAGAAAAGAGAGACAUCUAGUGGGUGGAGGGAAGGAGUAAGCUCAGAAGCCACAUCUGCCAUUCCUUCCAUCUCUUGGCUAAAUGUCUGAAAAAGCCAUUUGUCAACUUUGUGAAACAGGUCAAAGGGAUGUUGCUACUUCAAUUUCAGAAAGAAUACUAGAAUACUAAUGAUUGAAUGAAAAAUCUUCCACUUGGGGUUUAAGAAGUCAUUUCUCCUUGAGGGGAAAAUACAUAAAAGCAUUUCAUUCAUUGUUCUAAUACCCUGAGGAAUAUUGCCCCCAGAGUUGCAACCUUCCACUUUAUAAAGGUGUAGAUAGAUAAAUAGAAAAAGAUAGUACUGCCCAAACCAAAUAAUGCUAUUUCUUUUGAGAUAUACCAGUGGCAGGGGACUCCAGACACAUUUAACUCAGAUGUUAUCUAAAGGCGAUCACUAGCAGAUCUUUGAGCUUGAGGUCAUUAAAACAUAUAUACACAUAUAAGGGCUGAUCCAUUUUUUCAGUGGACCAUCUUAAAAGGAAGAUAACGGCCGGGCACGGUGGCUCAAGCCUGUAAUCCCAGCACUUUGGGAGGCCGAGACGGGUGGAUCACGAGGUCAGGAGAUCGAGACCAUCCUGGCUAACACGGUGAAACCCCGUCUCUACUAAAAAAAAUACAAAAAACUAGCCGGGCGAGGUGGCGGGCGCCUGUAGUCCCAGCUACUCGAGAGGCUGAGGCAGGAGAAUGGCCUGAACCCAGGAGGCGGAGCUUGCAGUGAGCUGAGAUCCGGCCAUUGCGCUCCAGCCUGGGCGACAGAGCGAGACUCUGUCUCAAAAAAAAAAAAAAAAGGAAGAUAACUUUAUUCACCAAAUGUUUAAGCAUCUGCCACAUGCCAAGCAUUGCAUUUUAUAACAUCAUCACAAACUUCCCUUUUACUUGUAGCCUAAAAAUGUUUUACUAGUCUUUGUAAGUCAAGUGAGGUACUAUUUCAUAAAAGAUCCAGUUAUGUCACUGGCAAGUUGAACUUUCAGUAUUAGUGAGAUCAGAAACGAGGUACACAAAUUUAGCACCAACGUGGAGAUACAUAGCCAAAAUGUGAAAGACCUCAAGUAUGCUCCGUGGCAGAGCUAGAUUAGGCGGUGUGAAAUCCCCAUGGUUUUUCUGUAUAUGGAAUGUCAUUUUUCUUUUAAGAGCUCAUUGCCUAUUCAUAAAGUCCAAUCCAAUCUCAAAUAGAGUGCUGAGUUUUAGGUUCCUGCAUUAGUUCCGCACAUUAGCCUGGUAACUGUAGUAUCAAACAUGACUUGGUCAUCUGAUACCUCCCUCUAGUAGUCUAGCACAGUAAUGUUGCUAUCAGCUUUCCCAAUAGAAUUAGUCAGAGAAGGUAAGAAAUGUUGCCAAAUUAAUUUUGAAAAAACAUUUAAUAAACCAUAUGUUAUUCAGUAAAAUAUCAAAAGAAUUAUAACCAAUAAGUUCUAUUCUGCCACUACUUGUGUGGUCUUUGCAGUCACUUUUUCCACAAUGCUAUUUAUGUCAAUCAUGUCUGUGAUUUCACCCUGAACUGCAUCAACUUUUUCAGCCAAUGUUUGUAUUCAAGGGUGUGUUUGAAGGUGUCAGAUAUCCUUCAAUCUUCCCUCCCACUCUUCUCCUAACUUAACUUCUCCUAAUCACAAUAUUCUAUUCCCUUCCCCAAUUGCUGUAACUCAAGUUGCUUCUGCCAUAUCUAAAACAUUGUCCCCACCUACUCUCCAUCUACUAAAACAUUCAUCUUUCAAGGUCUGGGGUAAGAAAAAUCAGUCUACUGCAGUAGAAACUACCCCACUAGUGCUUUAGUCAUCUCAUGAAUAUAUACAUUAUUCCAACUAAUCAUUAUGGCAUUAAAAACAAGUCUCAGAUUUUCUUGUUGUUCACGAAUUUAUUUGGGAAAGAUCCCAUGUAC